UACAGAGGUCUCAAGCGUUGUUCGGAUUCAUUGGGUUUAAAGGGUGCGUAGGCGGCCCUGUAAGUCAGUGCUGAAAUACCCCGGCUUAACCGGGGGGGUGGCAUUGAUACUGCAGGGCUUGAGUACAGAUGAGGUAGGCGGAAUUGACGGUGUAGCGGUGAAAUGCAUAGAUAUCGUCAAGAACACCGAUAGCGAAGGCAGCUUACUGGGCUGUAACUGACGCUGAUGCACGAAAGUGUGGGGAUCAAACAGG
rnacentral:rRNA from 1 species